rnacentral:rRNA from 1 species
GGUUUAAUUCGUUGCUACACGAGAACUUACCCAGGCUUGACAUGUUGGUAGUAGGGAUCCGAAAGGUGACCGACCUUCGGGGAGCCUUCACAGGUGCUGCAUGGCUGUCGUCAGCUCGUGUCGUGAGAUGUCCGGUUAAGUCCGGUAACGAGCGCAACCCUCGCUGUGUGUUAUAUGUGUCACACGGGACUGCCGGUAUCAAGCCGGAGGAAGGUGGGGAUGACGUCAAGUCAGCAUGGCCUUUAUGUCUGGGGCUACACACACGCUACAAUGGCCAGUACAAUAGGUUGCAAGACCGCGAGGUGGAGCCAAUCCUUAAAGCUGGUCUCAGUUCGGAUUGCAGGCUGCAACUCGCCUGCAUGAAGUUGGAGUUGCUAGUAAACGCAGGUCAGCCAUACUGCGUUGAAUACGUUCCCGGGGCUU